AACGGAAAGUAGAAUGCGUCCGAACCUAAUAUUUGUACUUCUAAGUGCAUUCAUACUGAUCGAUGUAUGUACAUCAAAAAACGAAUUUGUCUCGAUAAUAUGCUCAUUAGCGAGAGAAAAUGCUUUGCGGUUUUCACUGAACCAUAGGAACUGCCUAACGGGUUGCCUCGCAGAUGAGAACACUGGAACAACGAUUAUAAUAUUCAAUGAUUGUGAAUCAGAGACGAACCCAGACGCAAAUUUCUGUGAGACCAUCAGCAGGCACAACGAAACGAUGGAUUUUGUUAACAAUAUGAUGGAGCUUGGCUUUGUAUGUAUCGAUAGUGGCUGUGUCUCAUCAGGUUUGAUAUUAUUUGUACACAGCGAUAAGUAAGGACGGAAACAAUUAAAAUAUUUUAACUGAAA